rnacentral:rRNA from 1 species
UACGUAGGUGGCAAGCGUUGUCCGGAUUUACUGGGCGUAAAGGAUGCGUAGGCGGAUAUUUAAGUCAGAUGUGAAAAUCCCGGGCUCAACUUGGGAACUGCAUUUGAAACUGGGUAUCUAGAGUGCGGGAGAGGAGAGUGGAAUUCCUAGUGUAGCGGUGAAAUGCGUAGAUAUUCGGAAGAACACCAGUGGCGAAGGCGACUCACUGGACAUGUAUUGACGCUGAGGUGCGAAAGCGUGGGGAGCAAACAGG